UGUCCGGAUCAAACGCUGCCUGUAUUGAGAUAUUUCGAGCUCUAAGAAAGCUACACGAGAGCCGCGUUAACGCACAGCCUGUAAUAGCUCAGCCGCUGUGGGGCCGCCUCUGACCUAUUUUCGUCCGAGUGCGUUCAGAGCGCAAAAAGGCGGCUUUGCGCUCCUUUUUGAGCCCUUAAAUUCGCUAACGGGCCCGAGCGCCGUGAGGUAACCGCGGAAAUAUGCGGCCGUAUCCAUUACUGUGCGAGUGUGGAAUCAGGAGAGUAACCGGGAGGUCAGCGAGCGAUUUGAGGAGACGCAGAUCCCGUGUAAGCCCAACAACUGCCUGAGCCAGGGAGUGCGAUUAUGCUGCAGUUUGGGUUUGUGCUGCAGAUGGCUUUUUAAUCCGGUUGCGUAACCUGGCAUUAGAGAACGAGGAUAUUGUACAACGUCCCGUGAUGUUUUUCAUGGAAGAGCAACCAAAUCAACAGGAAAUCACUGUCUGUGUGUCAGAAAUGGAAACAUUUGAUACGUUGUACUGAAAAUGGAAAAAUCUCUGCAACCGUCUAAGCCAUUGUAGUGUUGAUGAGGAUCUUGGCAGCACAGCUGUGAGCAUCUUUAGGUUUGAUUACACACUUCGAGUCAGCAGCAGCUACAAAGUGCUCCUUGGGAGCAAGACACAUCAGCUUAGAGGACUUUUGGCCUGCUGCAGUUACAUAAGUUUUAUCAAAGUAUGAAGAAAAUAACUGCUUAUAUUUGGAACACUGCAGCAAAUGGAGCAUUGCUUUGAGUUUAGUAAACAGCGACUUCUCACAUCUGUAAGAGAAACCAUGUCAGCUGCAGACUGCAAUGAAUCAAGAAUGAUUACUUUCCAAUUUCACUGCCAUUAAUGCCACGUUAUGGCGCGCUCCAUACAGGAAUUCAGGUAAUAGCAGAGUCUAGGGGGAGAGACAGUGGGCCUGCUUCAUACAGAGGAAUGAAUUUAAGCUCACACUGUCAUUGUACAUACGCUUACACCAGAAUAAAAGCUCAGUCUGAGUUCUGGUCAUGCAAUUGGGUCUGCAGUUCCCUCACCUGAAUCACUUCUGUUGCAAGCAGAACAGAUCUGUUGAUUGAAACGUUAAUUAAUAUUCAAAGAAGAGGUUUUCAUCACUAUAUUCCCUAAUAACGAUACUCAGAAAAGCUGACGACGGUGCUCUUGGAAUCUAGGAGUAAACUAUAAUGCUCUGCUCGCUCAGUUUUGUUGUCCACCACACACUUUUCUUUAAGCCAGUUUUUCAGCUCUGUAACCUGCUCUUGCCCCUUUGCUCAUCCUGUCUUUUUCUACCCAACGUUUCUAGGCACUGCACUGCUUAUCUUUCCACAGACAGUCCUCUGAAGAUUAAGCGAAGUUAACAACAGCGCUCAAAAUUGCAAUUGUGGAGCAGAAGAGAAACACAAAAUGGCUUGAGAACAGGGAACUAUAAAACUUAACAGUCAUUUCAUGAGCUGAAUUAUUCAACUAGAAGUAAGCCUGAAGUCUUGGAGUUUACGCUUCUUACCCACAACUGUCAUCCAUAAAUUAACCACACGGACUGACCCAAGUCAAUACUGCACAGAUCUGUGCUUUAGAAAAGUAGCAGCGAUGGAAUCUCUUGAGACAGAAUUUGUGGUUUCGUCUGAGAAGGAACAGUAUGGUCUAAUGAGAAAAAAGAGUGACAGCUUAUUGUGGAACUCAGCACACAGAGAAACACUUUUCCAAGUAUGAUGGUUCUGUAGAAAGAUGGUUUUGGAGCUGCCAACUUAAUGAAAAUCAGUAUUCUUGCAUGGAGCUUUCAGCAUCAGCACUGCCGCAGAAAGUGUCCAGUAUCAUAUUCAAGCAUGGAAAAUUAUCAAUACUGCCUUCCUUGUUGGAGGAUGGACAGAUGGUAAAGACUCCAACUGUUAGGUUUGUUAUGCUGCCCUAUGUUACAUGACAUAGCAUGCUGUAGCCUUCCAUGUUUAGAUUUAAUUGCACAAAGGCUUUCUUUUUUGGAGAAGAUAAUCUAGGGAAAGGAUGUUUUAAGAGGAACGCAGAACAAAACUAGAAACAGCUUCCUUAAACCAUCCGAUUAAAUCAUUUAAAAGACAGGCAGGGCUCAUUUGUCCCAUGCCACUAAUUAGACUGUCUUACCCUACCUGCUUUGCCACAACUGUUUUCUUAAGAGUACAUAAGAAAAAACUGUCCAAGUAUUUUAUUUAUAGGGGUAAAAUAUGUCAUAUUCUACUCUGCUUUCCACUGUUAGAAACUGUCUCUGAACAGUCCUGGUUACUAUUCAGCAACACACACGAACUAGAGCUCUAUACUCUACGAUAACUAUAUGAUUAUCUACUUUAGAAGCACCAGUAUUUAUAGGACUGCUUCCCAAAAGCUGGGGUAGCAAUAUGUUGUCCUGUCAAUUGCAUUAGCAGGGAAUCAAAAGCAGGACUGAUUCUGAUGGAGUUAAUCUUAUAUUUUCCUGUAGCUGAAAAAGACGCAGGAGGCAGCACUACCUUUGUUGUCAUUUGAAUGCCCUGAUACAGAGAGUUCAGGGUAUGUCUGUUGAAUCACAGAAUCACACAGAAUCACAGAAUGAGCCGGGUUGGAAGGGACCUCAAGGAUCAUGUAGUUCCAACCCCCCUGCCUGGCAGGGC